AGUCUGUUAAACUGCAAGCUUGUGGUAAUGCCAUGUGAGAAGAUGAGGAGAGGGAAAUGCACAGAUAAAAACCGCUUCUCCAUUGUUGUUAUUUCCAAGUGAUGACUGAUGGAAUCUCUGCUAAUGCAGCGAGUGAGCUGGGGCUGCUCCAGGUGCAUGCUCCAACUCUUCAAAAUAUCCACUGGACACAGAGGACCCACUGCCUGCAGACCUAGACAUGUCUGGAUAAGGGGGAUCUGCCAAAAGAGGCCUCAGGCUGGAGAACUCAGGGCACAGUAGGUACACUCCUCACAUGGAAAAAAAGACAAUCCCUGUCUGAAGAAUUCUGGGCUAUGUGAAGGAGAAAAUAUGCAGGAAAGAAGAGUUAAGAGAGUUAUGAAUGCAGAAGAAGAUAAAGAAGUCUAAAACAAGUUGACCGUAUUGCAUGGUUUUGGAGCCUGGAUCCACUGUGAUGGGAGUGUCCAGGAGGUCUUCUGUGGCCCACAGAGUCUGCUGGGAGGUGAACACUUUCAUGAUGAAAUCAUCUUUAGAACUGCUGACACUUCCCUGCGUAACAGUCCUUGUCUGGAUAAAAAGGUUUUCCUG